UGGGGAAUAUUGCGCAAUGGGCGAAAGCCUGACGCAGCGACGCCGCGUGAGGGAUGAAGGUUUUCGGAUCGUAAACCUCUGUCAGAAGGGAAGAAACCGCACUGUGCUAAUCAGCAGUGCCUUGACGGUACCUUCAAAGGAAGCACCGGCUAACUCCGUGCCAGCAGCCGCGGUAAUACGGAGGGUGCAAGCGUUAAUCGGAAUUACUGGGCGUAAAGCGUACGUAGGCUGCUUUGUAAGUCAGGGGUGAAAUCCCACGGCUCAACCGUGGAACUGCCUUUGAUACUGCUUAGCUUGAAUCCGGAAGAGGGUGGGGGAAUACCAGGUGUAGGAGUGAAAUCCGUAGAUAUCUGGAGGAACAUCAGUGGCGAAGGCGGCCACCUGGACCGGUAUUGACGCUGAGGUGCGAAAGCGUGGGGAGCAAACAGG
rnacentral:rRNA from 1 species